GAGAGAGAGAGAGAGAGAGAGAUGAAAAGUGGGGCAAAAUCGCUGGAAAUGCAUUUGGGCUGACAUAAUUCCUCUUUCCCACAGUGGUCAUUCACUUGGGAGGCUCCAAUGUCCAUUCACUGUCUUAAAGCUAGCUUUUCAGAGCCUGGGGAGGCCAUCUUUCGCUGCCUGAAUGCCUUUUUUGUUGCUAAACAGUGAACUGUUUCUGAAGCCCAGCAUAAAGGAGAAAACCUGUGUUGAAAGGAAUUUGUUCUAAGCCUCUGAGACAAUGGAGAUCUACCCCACCCACAGUGUUUGAAAAAAGAGCAACUCAUGUGAAGCUUGCCUUCCUUCCCACCUCCCCUGGCUUUGAACAGGAAGGACAACUUGGUGCUAAAGAACACAGAGUGACUCAUGAGCAACAGCGAUGAAUCUGUUUGGGCUUCCCUUUGAAACCGAAUUUGGGUGUCAACAGCAGAAGGGCUGAGAAGACUUCUGCACGAUGACAGCCGCUCUGAAUGUAUGUAGGAAUGACACACAGGCAUGUGAUUCAUGCAUCAGGACACCAAAUGCAGAAAACGAUGAGUGCUUUGAAAGAAGACACAGAACAGAACACCAUUUUUUCCUAGCUUAUUAGGAGUUUGCCCAGGAAUGAAGAGUGCUAGCUUCAUGGCAGGGACAGAGCCACAGGAGCUACUUUGUGGGCUCAUGUGUGGCAUGUUGAAAACAACCACCUAUUUAUCCUUUUUGAAAUUCGCCAGCCAGCAAGAUGUGUGGGUGGGUGUGCGUGUGGGUGUUUCGGUGUGUCUGCUGAAGUUUUCUUGCUGGGUCGGAAAGGCAGACCUAUUCAGAGAGCUCUUCCAUGCCUUUGGCUAGGGCUCCAUCCAUCCCCAUGGUGCCUUGAGAGAAAGCUUCAAAAAUGCCUGGAUGGAUACAAAGCCGGGCAGCUCUGCAACAUCCACUUAGCGUGCUAUAAACUAAAGGGGGAGGGAA